UGGUACAGAGACAUUACAUGAUAACAAGAGUUAUUAUGUAAGGUAUAUUAUUAUUAUUAUAUAUUAAUUAUUAUUAAUUAUUAUUAUUAAUAUUAUUAUUAAUAUUAUUAUUAUUAUUAUUAUUAUUAAAUUAUUUCAUUGAAUGGAAUUUUAUUUUUUUAAGAGCCUCUUUAAACCUGCAAUGUCUUUCUCUUUAUCGUAGCGUAACAAAUGAGUUUUAUUUGGAAUUAAAGGAACGCUACACUGACACAAGUCGUUUGUGGCAUUAACAAAAUAUGCUUAAUUUUAUUUUUUGCUUAAUUCAAAAGAAUUUACUGUUCACAAAUACAUGUUCCUUUCUACGUGAUACUAGAACAAAUACUUUACAGUUGCGAACAAUGCAAAGAUCUUAAAUAAUAUUCAAAGAUCGAAUACGCAGUUUGGUACAUACUAAAUACGCGAUGUUCGUAAGAUCAUCAAAAAAUGAAUUCGUCUUAUUUUCAAACUCUGUCAAAUGGCAAAGUGUAUAAGAUAUCGAUGAUAGAUCACUAAUACGUAAUGUUUAAUUUUAUUUAUUCUGAGUUUUUUUUUUUUUUUUUUUCAACAUGAUCUAUCAUUGUAUCGUAUAACUUUGUUUUCGACGAACCUCGUAGAGUUUGACGUUUUCGUUGAACGUCGCUUUAAAAAUCGAUCGUGUAAUUGCACAUUAUGUAAAUUUUGAAGAGAAAUUUCGCGAAAAAUGCGAUCGAUCGAAAACAAGAAAAAGGAAAAGAAGAAAUCUAUUUCCGAAUCUUCAAGAAUUCCGUCGAAAGUUUGGCUUGCGUUUAAAUUGCUGAAAUGCCCCCUCGCCUAAAGAUGACAUUACAGUGUAUACAAAUGAUUUAUUAUUACAGAGACGCUUAGACCUGAUUCCGUCGCAUUAAAUUUGUUUAAUAUAAUAGUCGUUCAAAUUUCUUGAGCGUUUCCUCCAAACGAGUGAAUGGAGUCGACGCUAAAGAAAAACGUGUCGAGAUAACGAACAGGAAAGCGUAGGAGGCGUGUAUCUAUGUCGAAGAUCACGAAAUAUCCACGUUUGUAGAGUAACGUUAAUUGUAUGUGUGCCUGGCUAUGAUUCGUUUAGAUACUUAUCAAUUACGAUACAGGCAAGAGAUAUAGAGAGAAAGAAACAGAGUGAAAGUGUUACAUAGUCAUCGAUAGAAGAGAUAUACUAAUUGAAAUACAUAUUCUCAUGUUUGACGUUUUCUCUUAUGUUGCGGAUCUAUUACAUUGGAUAAGAAAUAUUGUAUAUAAUAUUAAUACAGAUAAAACAAUGCAUAUUAUACGUUAUUAUAAUCUUUACAAAUAUGCUAAUUAUUCUAAGGUUUAAUUAUUAAUAACUAAUUGAAAGUAAAUUAA